UACGAGGGGGGCGAGCGUUGUUCGGAAUUAUUGGGCGUAAAGGGUGCGUAGGCGGUUUGGUAAGUCUGAUGUGAAAUCUAUGGGCUCAACUCAUAGUCUGCAUCGGAAACUGCCGGGCUUGAGUAUGGGAGAGGUGAGUGGAAUUCCUGGUGUAGCGGUGAAAGUGCGUAGAUAUCAGGAGGAACACCUGUGGCGAAAGCGGCUCACUGGACCAUAACUGACGCUGAUGCACGAAAGCUAGGGGAGCAAACAGG
rnacentral:rRNA from 1 species